GAUGAACGCUGGCGGCGUGCUUAACACAUGCAAGUCGAACGGAAAGGCCAGUGCUUGCACUGGUGCUCGAGUGGCGAACGGGUGAGUAACACGUGGGUGAUCUGCCCUGCACUUUGGGAUAAGCCUGGGAAACUGGGUCUAAUACCAGAUAGGACCAUGCUUUGGAUGGUGUGGUGGAAAGUUUUUUCGGUGUGGGAUGAGCUUGCGGCCUAUCAGCUUGUUGGUGGGGUAAUGGCCUACCAAGGCGUCGACGGGUAGCCGGCCUGAGAGGGUGUACGGCCACAUUGGGACUGAGAUACGGCCCAGACUCCUACGGGAGGCAGCGGUGGGGAAUAUUGCACAAUGGGCGCAAGCCUGAUGCAGCGACGCCGCGUGGGGGAUGACGGCCUUCGGGUUGUAAACUCCUUUCGCAACUGACGAAGCUUUUUGUGACGGUAGGUUGAGAAGAAGCACCGGCUAACUACGUG
rnacentral:rRNA from 1 species